rnacentral:rRNA from 1 species
GGCGGCACGCCUAACACAUGCAAGUCGAGCGAGGUAGCAAUACCUAGCGGCAGACGGGUGCGUAACAUGUGGGAAUCUGCCUUUUGGUUCGGAAUAACACGGGGAAACCUGUGCUAAUACCGGAUAAGUCCUUACGGAGAAAGUUUUAAUGCCAAAAGAUGAGCCCGCAUUUGAUUAGCUAGUUGGUAAGGUAAUGGCUUACCAAGACUGUGAUCAAUAGCUGAUUUGAGAGGAUGAUCAGCCACAUUGGGACUGAGAUACGGCCCAGACUCC